GACCUGGUCGGGCGGUCCGCUUAACGGCGUGUACUGUCUGACUGGGCCCUUACCUCUUGGUGAGCCGGCGUGCCCUUUACUGGGCUGCGUCGGGGAACCAGGACUUUUACCUUGAGAAAAUUAGAGUGUUCAAAGCAGGCUUAUGCUCGAAUACAUUAGCAUGGAAUAAUAAAAUAGGAC
rnacentral:rRNA from 1 species